rnacentral:rRNA from 1 species
UUAUCCUACGGGAGGCAGCAGUCGGGAAUAUUGCGCAAUGGAGGAAACUCUGACGCAGUGACGCCGCGUAUAGGAAGAAGGUUUUCGGAUUGUAAACUAUUGUCGUUAGGGAAGAAAAAAGACAGUACCUAAGGAGGAAGCUCCGGCUAACUACGUGCCAGCAGCCGCGGUAAUCCAUAGGGAGCGAGCGUUAUCCGGAUUUAUUGGGUGUAAAGGGUGCGUAGACGGGUCUACAAGUUAGUUGUGAAAUCCCUCGGCUCAACUGAGGAACUGCCGCUAAAACUAUAGAUCUUGAACGCAGGAGA